CGCGCUCUCGGAUCGAUUUAGCCAUGCUAGUUGUGCGGGUUUAGACCCGCAGCGGAAGCUCAGUAACACGUGGCCAAGCUACCCUGUGGACGGGAAUACUCUCGGGAAACUGAGGCUAAUCCCCGAUAACGCUUUGCUCCUGGAAGGGGCAAAGCCGGAAACGCUCCGGCGCCACAGGAUGCGGCUGCGGUCGAUUAGGUAGACGGUGGGGUAACGGCCCACCGUGCCCAUAAUCGGUACGGGUUGUGAGAGCAAGAGCCCGGAGACGGAAUCUGAGACAAGAUUCCGGGCCCUACGGGGCGCAGCAGGCGCGAAACCUUUACACUGUACGAAAGUGCGAUAAGGGGACUCCGAGUGUGAAGGCAUAGAGCCUUCACUUUUGUACACCGUAAGGUGGUGCACGAAUAAGGACUGGGCAAGACCGGUGCCAGCCGCCGCGGUAAUACCGGCAGUCCGAGUGAUGGCCGAUCUUAUUGGGCCUAAAGCGUCCGUAGCUGGCUGAACAAGUCCGUUGGGAAAUCUGUCCGCUUAACGGGCAGGCGUCCAGCGGAAACUGUUCAGCUUGGGACCGGAAGACCUGAGGGGUACGUCUGGGGUAGGAGUGAAAUCCUGUAAUCCUGGACGGACCGCCGGUGGCGAAAGCGCCUCACGAGAACGGAUCCGACAGUGAGGGACGAAAGCUAGGGUCUCGAACCGGAUUAGAUACCCGGGUAGUCCUAGCUGUAAACGAUGUCCGCUAGGUGGUGGCGCAGGCUACGAUCCUGCGCUGUGCCGUAGGAAAGCCGAGAAUCGGACCGCCUGUGCAGUACGUUCUGCAGGAUGAAACUUAACGGAAUUGGCGGGAGAGCACAUAUCAACCCUGACGAGAGCCGGCGGUUUAUUACUUUAACCCCCGCCAAAAAA
rnacentral:rRNA from 1 species